rnacentral:snRNA from 1 species
AUACUUACCUGGCAGGGGAGAUACCAUGAUCACGAAGGUGGUUUUCCCAGGGCGAGGCUUAUCCAUUGCACUCCGGAUGUGCUGACCCCUGCGAUUUCUCCAAAUGUGGGAAACUCGACUGCAUAAUUUGUGGUAGUGGGGGACUGCGUUCGCGCUUUCCCCUG